rnacentral:rRNA from 1 species
GGUUCGAGUAUGAAUGAAGUUUUAAUAAUUUUUUUUAUUAAUUUUAUAAUGAAUUUUUUUUUUAAAUAAAAAAUUUUGUUUUUAUUUUUGCAAAGAUAAGUCUUCGUAAAUUCUUUUUAAUUUUUUUUAAAAAAAAAAAUUAAAGUUUUCUAGGGUAGAAUUUUUUGUAUGUAUAUUUUUCUAUUAUUAGUUUAGAGAAUUACUUCGGAGUUAACAGAAAUUCAUAUUUUAUCUAGUUCUUAUAGUAAAGUAAGUUUUACAUCGGUGUUGUAUUUAUAUUGUUUGGGAGGUAGAAUGUUCAAUAUUUAAGACUGUUCUUCUUUUUAGUAUAACGUGAUAUUAGUUUAAUUCAUCGUGAGAUAGAAUUGUUUAUCUUGAAAAAUAAUUUUUUUUUUUAGGUUUUUAGUACGAAAGGAAAAAUAGUUGAAGUUAAAAACUUUAUGAUGUACGG